UAGAGCCUCUACAAUUUUUUGGCCCAGCCAAAUGCCCUUGUUCAUCUGGAUUUAUCCAACACAGAGUGUGCUCUAGAUAUGGUGUGUGGAGCCCUCCUUCGUGGAUGUCUUCAGCAUCUAGCUGUCCUUAGUCUUUCCAGGACACUUUUUUCUCACAGAAAAGGAAAAGAAGUCCCUCCCUCCUUCAAACAGUUUUUCAGCAGCUCACUUGCGUUGAUGCAGAUUAAUCUCUCGGGAACUAAACUCCCUCCGGAGCCCCUGAAGUAAGAAUUUCAUUUAAUCUUCUCCUGUUGCCUAAAACCUAGUUCACAUUGUUAUUAUGUGGUGCUAUAUAUUAAGGAAAAAAAAAAAAA